UACGUAGGGUGCGAGCGUUAAUCGGAAUUACUGGGCGUAAAGCGUGCGCAGGCGGUUUUUGUAAGCCAGAUGUGAAAUCCCCGGGCUUAACCUGGGAAUGGCAUUUGGGGACUGCAAGGCUGGAGUUUGGCAGAGGAGACUGGAAUUCCUGGUGUAGCAGUGAAAUGCGUAGAUAUCAGGAGGAACACCAAUGGCGAAGGCAGCUCUCUGGGGACGGUACUGACGCUGAGACGCGAAAAGCGUGGGGGAGCGAACAGG
rnacentral:rRNA from 1 species